AUUGAACGCUGGCGGCAUGCCUUACACAUGCAAGUCGAACGGCAGCACGGGGCAACCUGGUGGCGAGUGGCGAACGGGUGAGUAAUGCAUCGGAACGUACCUUUCAGUGGGGGAUAACGUAGCGAAAGUUACGCUAAUACCGCAUAUUCGGUGGGCAGGAAAGGAGGGGAUAGCAAGACCUUGCGCUGAUUGAGCGGCCGAGGUCGGAUUAGCUAGUUGGUGAGGUAAAGGCUCACCAAGGCGACGAUCUGUAGCGGGUCUGAGAGGAUGAGCCGCCACACUGGAACUGAGACACGGUCCAGACUCCUACGGGAGGCAGCAGUGGGGAAUUUUGGACAAUGGGGGCAACCCUGAUCCAGCCAUGCCGCGUGAGUGAAGAAGGCCUUCGGGUUGUAAAGCUCUUUCGGCCGGGAAGAAAUCGCACGGGCUAAUACCCUGUGUGGAUGACGGUACCGGAAUAAGAAGCACCGGCUAACUACGUGCCAGCCGCCGCAGUAACAC
rnacentral:rRNA from 1 species